GUGCUUCCAAAUUACAUAUACUAAAAUUGGAACGAUACUUGUAAAGAAGAUUAGCAUGGCCCCUGUGCAAGGAUGACACGCAAAAUCGUGAAGUUUUCCACUUUUUU